rnacentral:rRNA from 13 species
CUCGGCAAUGGAUAUCUCGGCUCUCGCAUCGAUGAAGAGCGCAGCGAAAUGCGAUACGUGGUGCGAAUUGCAGAAUCCCGCGAACCAU